CUAUGGGGCCUAAAAAACCUAAAAUCACCAUAUCCUGUCUGAUCUAGGAAGCUACGUUGGGUCCGCUCUGGUUAGUACUUGGAUGGGAGACCACUAAGCAAAACCAGGUGCUGUAGGCU
rnacentral:rRNA from 1 species